ACGCUCGACACCUACGGGAGCAGCAGUAGGGAAUCUUCCACAAUGGGCGCAAGCCUGAUGGAGCAACACCGCGUGAGUGAAGAAGGGUUUCGGCUCGUAAAGCUCUGUUGUUGGAGAAGAACGUGCGUGAGAGUAACUGUUCACGCAGUGACGGUAUCCAACCAGAAAGUCACGGCUAACUACGUGCCUGCAGCCGCGGUAAUCUGAGGCGGGCUGGACAAGGC
rnacentral:rRNA from 1 species